rnacentral:rRNA from 1 species
UACGUAGGGUGCAAGCGUUGUCCGGAAUUAUUGGGCGUAAAGAGCUCGUAGGCGGUUUGUCGCGUCUGCUGUGAAAACCCGAGGCUCAACCUCGGGCCUGCAGUGGGUACGGGCAGGCUAGAGUUCGGUAGGGGAGACUGGAAUUCCUGGUGUAGCGGUGGAAUGCGCAGAUAUCAGGAGGAACACCGGUGGCGAAGGCGGGUCUCUGGGCCGUUACUGACGCUGAGGAGCGAAAGCGUGGGGAGCAAACAGG